rnacentral:rRNA from 1 species
UGCCGGAUAGGCAACUGGUAGGCAUCUACCGGUUGGGAAAGGUGCAACUGCACCGCAGAUGGAGGAGCCCGCGGCGCAUUAGCUAGUUGGUGGGGUAACGGCCCACCAAGGCGACGAUGCGUAGCCGACCUGAGAGGGUGACCGGCCACACUGGGACUGAGACACGGCCCAGACUCCUACGGGAGGCAGCAGUAGGGAAUCUUCGGCAAUGGGCGAAAGCCUGACCGAGCAACGCCGCGUGAGCGAAGAAGGCCUUCGGGUUGUAAAGCUCAGUCACCCGGGAAGAGCGGGCAGGAGAGGGAAUGCUCCUGUCGAGACGGUACCGGGAGAGGAAGCCCCGGCUAACUACGUG